UUAAAGCAAAGGAUCAACCAGAAUAGAAAGAGAGCAAAAAGGAACAAAACGAUGAUCAGAAAGCACUAAAAUAUCCAGCAGUGGCACAGCACUUAGAGUUUCACACGUUUGAAAAUGCAGCUUCUGUAAAACGCGUCUUCGAAGAUAUCGUAAAACGAGAAGCAACCCGUUUCUCGCAAUCUCGCUACCCCCAGCAACGGGUGUUCCGCAAUAGGUGCUGCUUUCAGGUGCGAGAAGGGCAUCGAAAACCUUUCACGUCUGGCCAAUACUAGAUACACGCUACUUCACUCCCGUACAAGACUAGUGCCGCGCGUCUAUUCUUACACUAUUCUGUACUACUGCGAUUCCGCCGCUCUAACCGGAUAUUCGAAUCAAUGGUA